CUCCUUCGCCCUUCGCCCUCGUCACUGUUCAUACUCUUCAUACUCUUCAUCUUCUUCAUCUUCUUAAUCUUCAUCUUCUUCUUCAUACUUUUCAUCUCUCUGUUCACCUUCAAGCUCCACCAAACAUGGGCGACGGCAAGGUAUCCGCGACGCUCUCUUCUCCUCCAAGCCCUCCGAUUCCAAAGGUAUGAUCUCUUCACCAAACCCUAAUAAGCCCAAAGAAAGCUUCGGGACUACUCUCUCACUCUCAACUCGAUCUUACGCUGUCACUCUCAACUCCCAUCUCUCAACCAUGGAAGAGCUCAAAUCCCCGCCGUCACCAGCACCGUCCUCGCUGCGCCAUUAGCCUCCCCUCUGCCUCGUCUCCCCCUCGUCACUAGGGUCGCCCUCCUCGCCGAUCUCCUCUGCAUCGUCAGUGUCGUCUCUCUCUCUGCUCCCAACGCUAACUGCAAUGGCUGACGACGAACCCGUUGAUCAAAAGAGAUACCUCGAAGACUCUUGCAAACCAAAGUGUGUCAAACCAUUACUUGAAUAUCAGAGGGUUGCCAUGGCGAUUUCUCCAUCUGGUAUAAACCCGGCAGUUGGCUAAAAACUCUCUCCCAGUUCUCCAGAGUCUCUUACACUAGCCAACUGGAUCUGCUGCAG